UUUUUGCUCCAGUAGGUCUGUUAGUCUAUAAGGUGCCACAGGACUCUUUGCCGCUUUUACAGAUCCAGACUAACACGGCUACUCCUCUGAUACAUGCUUAAUUUGGUUCCACAAGAAACUCUAUAGGUGUGUAAGCACUUGACUCCAGGCAGCUGGUUCUUGUUCAUGGAUCACUAAGUAGAAGUAGGCACUUCCCUGCAACCUGAACUUAGGCACAUAGCUCCAUGAGAGGGUUGGGGCUUAGCACACACUCCUCUCCUCAUCAUCAUCCUUUGGCUAGUUUAGGUAGCUCCCCACCUAGUGUGCUGACUAUGUGGAUCUCAUUUGCAGGCACCUGUCUCUUCCCAUGCAUUGCACAAAGAGCUGAGUUGUUCAAUGUGCACAGAUAUUCCACUGCCUUUCAAAAAGACCUGCAUCUUCUGUGUUUAUGAUGGAGGAUCCCCAAAAGAAUGCAUUGUUUGACUAAAGAAUAAUGUUACAGUGCCAACUUAAAUAAUCAACUUUUGAGCUAAACUGAGUGAGUAUUUGCUCAAAUUGGCAUUUGACCCUGAGCAGGAGUAACAUGUUCUUUAGCUAUAUCCAGAUAUGUAACCAAUAGGAAAUGAUAUAGUAUCCUUAAUUUUUUACUCAUCUUUCACUUAAAUGAGAUAUUCAGACAUAAAAUCUAACACUCAUGGACAUCAUUGUGGCUUGUAAUGCUCCCUGGAGAAGUGUGAGACAACAGUAAAUAUAUUGGCUAGUUUAGGUAACUCCCCACUGAGUGUGCUGACUAUGUGGAUCUCACCAAUCCAUUAUACAUCUAUGGGGAAGUAUAACAAAUGUUAAUAUUAUAAUAUUAAUUCAAGCAUAAUGAGUAGAUAUUAUUAAUUUAAGUAAUGUGUUCCUUAUUUUAACUGAAUAUAAUAUAAUAAAAUUUAACAGAGUUUAAAAAAAAUUAAAAUGUAAAAGCCAUUAGUUCACCUUUUGUAUUUAAGGCUUAAUGGUUAUUAAUGUAUUAGUUAUUAAUUGAUUAAUAUAUCAAGACUUUAAAAGAGGACUUGGGUUCCCAAAUUUAAACUUCUAUCAUGUUACUCUUCAAGUCAGGGCCUGCCUUUUACUGUGUUUGCAGAGAACCCACUCUAAUGAUCCCUGAUGGUGACUGGGGGCUUUGGGCAUUUUUAUAAUACAAAUAGAUAAUAAUAUUGCUAGUGGCUUGCCAUAGUUACAUAGUCUCCUUAAACCAGCUUGGCCACACCCCAUCUGCCUACCUUUUAGAAAAAUCUAAAAAUAACCAUGAUUUUGUCUUGUCCAGUCUAGUUAUUUUAAGGAAACCUGGUAAUUUAAAUAUGAUUGAAUGAUCUGGAGUGAAUUUCUGAGUUAACAGCUGCCAGAAUUGUCACAGCAGUCCUUUAUUUGGAUAAUGUUACAGUCAAUGUUACAGUCAAAAUAGAUCUGGAAGCCCUUUGUUGGGGGGAAUUGGAGCCCAGAUGGUGUCUUUUAGAGAGUUAUCGAGGAAAUUUUAGUCUGGAGUAUGCUAAAUUAAGGUAUAGCAAAUGAGUGAGAGACUUAUUAUUCAGCAUUUUCUUGCCUCUCCUAUAGUCUUCCCUUGCGCCUUCAUUAUUUGAUUUUCAGAACUCGACAUCAUGUCAAAAAUACAGUCUGAUGGAGUUUAAUUAUCCCAUUACUUUACUUCAGUCAUCUGACUUUGAUUGGUAGGUAUUUCUUGCUGGAAAUAGUAUGAGAAAUCGUUUAUGGUGAAUUAUUUUUCUUUUUGAGGGAUAUGUUUUAAUACUGUAACACUCCCAACCAGUGAUUGGGGCUUUUUUGCUAUAGAUGGAAAGUUGAUUGUAAAAGAAGGGUAGAAUGAGAAAAGAGAAUUGGAAGUUUGUUCCCCAGUAGUUGUCCAGAAAAGAUUUUAAACUUUUGUUAAAAGAAAAGGAGUACUUGUGGCACCUUAGAGACUAGCAAAUUUAUUUGAGCAUAAGCUACAGCUCACUUCAUCGGAUGCAUUCCGUGGAAAAUACAGUGUUGUUGUUUAUUUAUUAUUAACCAAACCUACUUUCAGGAGUUGGUUUGAGGCGUUGCCUAAGUGAGGAUUUGAGCCAUGGUGUGCUGGACUGGUUCAGAGCCUGGCUUUGCAUCAGUGUAGCUGACCCCGGCUUGAAACCAGGAAUUUUUCUCAAAAUUAUUCUCAAGGAAAGAUUGGAUAACAGAACGGCUUAAAACAAGCGGCCUAAGUGGACUGGUGGAUACUGUAGAUGUGGAAGGUGGAAAUUGGAUUUGUAUUCGCUGACCCUUUCCUAGAACUAGUGAGCACUGGACUAGGCUAAUAGAAAACAUUGGGGGGAAGGGGAGGGAAUAUAGUAUUUUAAAAUAGCACACAAGCUGCAGUUGUUGAUUCUACUUGAUAAGCCUCUCUUCAGAGACUUUUCGAAAGUGUUUAAUUUCCUAUGCAUACCUGCUGCCAGGGAACUUUUGUCAAGGCAUUGUUGGGACCAGUACUUAGUCAUUGUUCUGCAGGUAUGUGGGAUGUUGUCACAAAUGAACUUUGUCUUGAAGCUGCGGGGUAACGUCUCCAAGCCUAGUGCCAUUUGAGAGACAUUUUACUGGGGAAAAUAGCCAAGAAUGGUGUGGUACCUGUGGGGAUCAGGGAAGCACAGACUCAUGUUUAUCACGAGUUUUGUAAUUAUGGUUUGAAUCUUGGUUUUCACUUUAAUUUGAGAGGAUUGCAUUCUACUUACUAAUGGAUUUUUCACGUGUCAGUAACUGGCAAAGGAGCUGCCCAUUUCCUUCAGACUCUGUGUUUUGCAUUGUAGAUUUAGUGGCAUUUUACUGUUCCAUUUAAAAGAAUAAAGUAUUCGAUAGAGGCCUUGCAUGUGGGACUCGGGUGUGCUAGCAGGAGCAGCUCAGUUCUGUGGCACCGCCUUUCUGCUACUCAGAGAAUGAAUUGCAGAGCCGCAGCUUCAAUUCCGGCAGCUCUUUAUUCAAUAAAGUAAGAGGAACUGCUGGUUCCUGUGCGGCCUCGUUAGCCCCCGGAGAAGCGUGAACCGCUCCGCCUGGUUUUAGUCGGUGCUCCAUGGCAAAGAGGGGACACGAUUGCUCCGAAAAGACGACAGUCUGACCCAGCCCGCCCGUUGAAAAACCGUGGUCUUUACCUCGGCAGAUGCUCAGCAGAAUUCAAAUUGCAGGGGCUCGCCCCGUCUUAUGGGGGCGCCCAAAGCUCCCACUGAGACACUAGCAAUGCAAGAUUGGGACCAUACAUGAAAGCAGAUGCACGUCUCUAGGCUGAUCCUUUCCUCAGGGUAUCAGUGUGUCCUGGUAACCAGAAAGUUCAGUGGCUACCCACUGAUGAAUGCAUCACUGGGCAGAUCUAACUAUGGACUUUCCAGCGGCCCCUUCACUUCAGUGGGCGUUUUCAGUUCGCUCUGCUUGCAGCGCUCCGUUUGUUAAGAUGCUUUUUUUUUUCUCCUCUGGAGCAAAGUAUAUGGUGCCUGCCCUGCCUUUGCGAAGAUACUACGUGUGUAUUGAGUAAGCCAGCUUGCUGGCUCCUGAGCCUGCAGUCUCUACUCAGGCAAGACUCCCACUGACGUCAAUGGGAGGUUUGCCUAAGAGGCCUGUAAAAUCGUCCUCCCGGGCGGUUUUUUCUUUUGUUUCCGAGUUGGACUCUUCAGGUAGCGAUGGGGGAAAGUUUAGCGGGCAUCGAAAAUCAGCGUUUGCUCCAUUUGCAGCUUACGCAAGCAGGGCAAUAACCAGUGACUGUGACUGCUAGCAAAAUCAGGGGCGUGCUUGUAGUAACUGCCCCAACCGGGGCAAUGCCUCCUUUGGUUUGGGGGGAGUCCAGGGGAGCUUUUCGUUGAACAUCACAGAGUAGCGGGCACUACUGCAGGAUUUUCCCAUUCCCCAUCGUUACAGCCAAAUAGGCAAUCACACUAAUAAAUAGUGGAAAUGCUCUUUUGCCCUCUGUAGUGUUUAAAGAAGCAAAAACAAAACAAAAAAGCAACAACAGCUCCUCGCUUACAAA